GACGAACGCUGGCGGCGUGCUUAACACAUGCAAGUCGAACGGUGAAGCGCCUUCCUUUUUGGUGGGUGUGGAUGAGUGGCGAACGGGUGAGUAACACGUGAGUAACCUGCCCCCUUCUUCUGGAUAACCGCAUGAAAGUGUGGCUAAUACGGGAUAUUCUGGGUCUGUCGCAUGAUGGGUCUGGGAAAGAUAUUGUUUCGGUGGGGGAUGGGCUCGCGGCCUAUUAGCUUGUUGGUGGGGUGAUGGCUUACCAAGGCGGCGAUGGGUAGCCGGCCUGAGAGGGUGAUCGGCGACACUAGAAGUGAGACACGGCCCAGACUCCUACGGGAGGCAGCAGUAGGGAAUCUUCCGGCAAGGGCGAAAGACUGCUGGAGCAACGCCGCGUGAGUGAUGAAGGUCUUCGGAUCGUAGAACUCUGUUAUUAGGGAAGAACAAAUGUGUAAGUAACUAUGCACGUCUUGACGGUACCUAAUCAGAAAGCCACGGCUAACUACGUG
rnacentral:rRNA from 1 species